UGUCCCCACCCUGGCAGCCGAUCUCCAGCAAACAGACAUGCCUGGGUUCCUGCUAGCUGCCCAUCCCACUGCCCUCAGAGUUCACAGGUGAGGGAGAUUCGGCUCAGAAAGGAUGCUUGGGUAGCUACAGAGAACCAACCGAGCAGGAUCUGAACCCAGAUCCCUGCUUUCCACCAGGUGGUAUGCUUUCCCAUGCUUGGCCUGAUCUCCAGUCAUCAGGUAGGUGUGACAAGGGACACUGGCAGGCCCCAUACCUACUAUGUGUUCUCCAGUCUCAGGCUCUGGACACCGAGCUGGACAUGUUCUAUCCACUGGCAAGGUGGAGGGAGAUCCCUUACUAACUUAGGGAGUGGGGCUCACAAAAGGCCACAGGGCAGGCAAGUGUGCAGAGAUCCUGCUAUGGGGCUGUUUGUGCAGAGUCCAUGUGGGUGAGGGAGAGAAGGACUCCCUGAAGACAGGGGCCUGUGUGGCUCUGUCACUCAUGGGACUGACAAGGCCCAAUAGAGACCCUGGGUCUAGGUCUCAUCUAGGCAGCUGUAUCUAUCCGUGGGGUCCACGAGGAACACAGGAGCCACUGGAGGAGGAGUUCAUCUGAAAGCAAGUGAGUGAGCUCACCAGAACUGCACCUCUAGAACAAGGACAGCAAAGGAGACUGUGAAGGAGAGGACCCGCCGGGGCCAGCGACACAGAUUUUCCAUCCAGCUCAGAAGAAGAGAGCCUGGGAUAACUGGCAUCCACUGGAGGUGUUUGGUUCUUCACAAACGCUAAUGGACACAUUUCAAAUAUCGGAUGAUACUUUUUUUUUUAACACAGCAGGGUUCCUAUAGCCUAGCAAGAGCAACUCCAGAGAGGCCCAAGGAAGCUCUGGAAUAAAAUCAUAGCUAACCCAAAUGCCCAUCAGUAGGGAAAUGGCUAAAUAACAAUGACUUCCAAGUACUAUGUAUUAGUGUCUUUAGAAAGAUGGUAGGUCUCCGUGUGAAGACCUAACCAGACUGGCUUUGAUGGCUCAAGCCCAUAAUCUCAGUAUUCAGAACACUGAGGCAGGAGGACCAACAAGCUGGAAGCCAGUCUGGGCUACAUAGCGAAGAGGGGCUGGUGGGGGAGAACAGGAAGACAGUCCAGGCAGGAGAGUGCUUGCUGUGCAUAAGGACCUGAGUUCAAACCCUAGGACUGUAAAAAAGCCAGGAGCACCACUGUGUUCUUCAAGUCCCAGGAGGCAGAAAGUGACCUGGGGUUUGCGAUCCAGCCAAAUCAGCAAGCUCCAGGCUAGGCAAGAGACUCUGGCUGGCACACACACACACACACACACACACACACACACACACACACAAACA